UACGUAGGAUGCAAGCGUUGUCCGGAAUUAUUGGGCGUAAAGAGCGCGCAGGCGGUAACUCAAGUCAGAUGUGAAAUAUCCGGGCUUAACCCGGAGGGGUCAUUUGAAACUGAGUAACUAGAGUACAGCAGAGGAUAGCGGAAUUCCCGGUGUAGUGGUGAAAUGCGUAGAUAUUGGGGAGGAACACCAGUGGCGAAGGCGGCUAUCUGGGCUGAAACUGACGCGUGAGGCGCGAAGGCUAGGGGAGCAAACAGG
rnacentral:rRNA from 1 species